rnacentral:rRNA from 1 species
UACAGAGGUCUCAAGCGUUGUUCGGAUUCAUUGGGCGUAAAGGGUGCGUAGGCGGCGCGGUAAGUCGGGUGUGAAAUCUCGGAGCUUAACUCCGAAACUGCAUUCGAUACUGCCGUGCUUGAGGACUGGAGAGGAGACUGGAAUUUACGGUGUAGCGGUGAAAUGCGUAGAUAUCGGGAGGAACACCGGUGGCGAAGGCGGCCCCCUGGUUGGAUCACUGACGCUGAGACGCGAAAGCGUGGGGAGCAAACAGG